GCUGGUUCUCCGCGAAAUCUAUUUAGGUAGAGCGUCGAUCGAAUACUCUUGGGGGUAGAGCACUGACUGGGCUAGGGGUCCUCACCGGAUUACCAAACCUUAUCAAACUCCGAAUACCAAGAAGUACUAAUCGGCAGACACACGGCGGGUGCUAACGUCCGUCGUGGAGAGGGAAACAACCCUGACCACCAAUUAAGGUCCCCAAAUAAUGGCUAAGUGUGAAAGGAUGUGGGAUUGCUUUGACAAUGAGGAGGUUGGCUUAGAAGCAGCCACCCUUUAAAGAAAGCGUAAUAGCUCACUAGUCGAGUCGGCCUGCGCGGAAGAUGUAACGGGGCUCAAACUAGGAGCCGAAGCUGCGGAUUUAAUUGUUUCAAUUAAGUGGUAGGGGAGCAUUGUGUAAGCCUGUGAAGGUGUGUUGUAAAGCAUGCUGGAGGUAUCACAAGAGCGAAUGCUGACGUGAGUAACGACAAUGCGAGUGAAAAGCUCGCACGCCGGAAGACCAAGGGUUCCAGUCCAACGUUAAUCGGGGCUGGGUGAGUCGACCCCUAAGGCGAGGCCGAAAGGCGUAGUCGAUGGGAAAUCGGUUAAUAUUCCGAUACUUGUUUAUGAUGCGAUGGAGGGACGGAGAAGGUUAUGCCAGCUUGGCGAUGGUUGUCCAAGUGGAAGGAUGUAGUUAGGUUUAGUAGGCAAAUCCGCUAGACUAUUAAUGAGAUCUGAUAGCAAGCUGUACUUGUACAGCGAAGUGGCAAAUACCCUGCUUCCAGGAAAAGCUUCUAAACUUAUGAUUAUAUGAACCGUACCCCAAACCGACACAGGUGGUCAGGUAGAGAAUACUAAGGCGCUUGAGAGAACUCGGGUGAAGGAACUCGGCAAAAUUGUACCGUAACUUCGGGAGAAGGUAC
rnacentral:rRNA from 1 species